rnacentral:rRNA from 1 species
CGGGACACGUGGUAUCCUGUCUGAAUAUGGGGGGACCAUCCUCCAAGGCUAAAUACUCCUGACUGACCGAUAGUGAACCAGUACCGUGAGGGAAAGGCGAAAAGAACCCCGGCGAGGGGAGUGAAAAAGAACCUGAAACCGUGUACGUACAAGCAGUGGGAGCCUCUUAAUGGGGUGACUGCGUACCUUUUGUAUAAUGGGUCAGCGACUUAUAUUCUGUAGCAAGGUUAACCGAAUAGGGGAGCCGAAGGGAAACCGAGUCUUAACUGGGCGUUAAGUUGCAGGGUAUAGACCCGAAACCCGGUGAUCUAGCCAUGGGCAGGUUGAAGGUUGGGUAACACUAACUGGAGGACCGAACCGACUAAUGUUGAAAAAUUAGCGGAUGACUUGUGGCUGGGGGUGAAAGGCCAAUCAAACCGGGAGAUAGCUGGUUCUCCCCGAAAGCUAUUUAGGUAGCGCCUCGUGAAUUCAUCUCCGGGGGUAGAGCACUGUUUCGGCAAGGGGGUCAUCCCGACUUACCAACCCGAUGCAAACUGCGAAUACCGGAGAAUGUUAUCACGGGAGACACACGGCGGGUGCUAACGUCCGUCGUGAAGAGGGAAACAACCCAGACCGCCAGCUAAGGUCCCAAAGUCAUGGUUAAGUGGGAAACGAUGUGGGAAGGCCCAGACAGCCAGGAUGUUGGCUUAGAAGCAGCCAUCAUUUAAAGAAAGCGUAAUAGCUCACUGGUCGAGUCGGCCUGCGCGGAAGAUGUAACGGGGCUAAACCAUGCACCGAAGCUGCGGCAGCGACACUAUGUGUUGUUGGGUAGGGGAGCGUUCUGUAAGCCUGUGAAGGUGUGCUGUGAGGCAUGCUGGAGGUAUCAGAAGUGCGAAUGCUGACAUAAGUAACGAUAAAGCGGGUGAAAAGCCCGCUCGCCGGAAGACCAAGGGUUCCUGUCCAACGUUAAUCGGGGCAGGGUGAGUCGACCCCUAAGGCGAGGCCGAAAGGCGUAGUCGAUGGGAAACAGGUUAAUAUUCCUGUACUUGGUGUUACUGCGAAGGGGGGACGGAGAAGGCUAUGUUGGCCGGGCGACGGUUGUCCCGGUUUAAGCGUGUAGGCUGGUUUUCCAGGCAAAUCCGGAAAACCAAGGCUGAGGCGUGAUGACGAGGCACUACGGUGCUGAAGUGACAAAUGCCCUGCUUCCAGGAAAAGCCUCUAAGCAUCAGGUAACAUUAAAUCGUACCCCAAACCGACACAGGUGGUCAGGUAGAGAAUACCAAGGCGCUUGAGAGAACUCGGGUGAAGGAACUAGGCAAAAUGGUGCCGUAACUUCGGGAGAAGGCACGCUGAUAUGUAGGUGAAGCGACUUGCUCGUGGAGCUGAAAUCAGUCGAAGAUACCAGCUGGCUGCAACUGUUUAUUAAAAACACAGCACUGUGCAAACACGAAAGUGGACGUAUACGGUGUGACGCCUGCCCGGUGCCGGAAGGUUAAUUGAUGGGGUUAGCGGUAACGCGAAGCUCUUGAUCGAAGCCCCGGUAAACGGCGGCCGUAACUAUAACGGUCCUAAGGUAGCGAAAUUCCUUGUCGGGUAAGUUCCGACCUGCACGAAUGGCGUAAUGAUGGCCAGGCUGUCUCCACCCGAGACUCAGUGAAAUUGAACUCGCUGUGAAGAUGCAGUGUACCCGCGGCAAGACGGAAAGACCCCGUGAACCUUUACUAUAGCUUGACACUGAACAUUGAGCCUUGAUGUGUAGGAUAGGUGGGAGGCUUUGAAGUGUGG